CGGGCGCUCUGUCCUCCAGGUGUCUGGCAGUGUAGAGAGGGGUGAAGGUUGCUGUGAUAUAUUAGGUAAUUCACCCUUCUCUCACUAACCGGCACCUCGGGCUCUUCUUCGACCCCA
rnacentral:precursor_RNA from 12 species